GGGCACAUAAAUGUUUUGCCGUCUUGCUGACUCGGAGCACAAAGACACCCUGCUUAUGCCACACUCCAUCAAGUCUUCUCUUCCCACCUCCAAAUGCUCUAAAAAGUUCCCCUUCUUCCUGCUAAUCUAAACGCAAAUGCACGCCGUUUAUGUUCAAACUCAGAUGCGGCAGAAAGAACUCUUCAGACGGAGGCGUUUGGCAAAGAGGAGAUAAUAUUUAGAGGAAUGCACUGCCUUCCCCUGAUAAUUUUUUUUUUUUUUUUCCCACUUAAACCUGAUGAGCUUUUUCUUUUAUUCUGGUGCUAUGGUUGAAAUCAUAAAUUCAGGCUUGUCUGGGAAAAAAACAAAAAACACUUGGGUGGAGCAGAUUACACUGAAGUUUUGAUAAGUGGAACCGCUGCUCUGCUCUGCAUCUCACAAAGCUAAGCCUCUGCUUGUUUGUUCUUUUGCUCAGGUUCACUUUAUCGCUCCCCCCCCCCCCACUCCUCCUCUCUCCAUUUCCUAUUUAGUUUCUUCUCAUUUGCUGUUUAAUUAGGCUCCACCGCAUCAGAUUCCAGAUACAAGCCGUCGUCAGUAUCAGCAGCGGAGACACUCACAGUGAAAAUGUGACCGAACGAGAGGACACCGCCGCUAAACUUCUAAAGCACGCCUCCGGCUUUUUGAACUGAUUUUUCCUACUUUCCAGGCCGACACGGUUCUCUGUUCAUUCCAGGUGCCGAAAUCAACUUACAGGGACUUUAAACUCUCAGAGGAAAUGCUCCCCGCCAUUAAUGCAGUCAAGGACGCGCUGACAUUGGAGGAUUCUUAAAAGACGUAUAUUUCCAUGAACGCGUUGCUUUCAACGCACCUGAAUCUCCAAAUCUCAGCGUUGCCUUGAAUGCAGCCCAGGAGUCAUCCUACAAACUGCAAAGUGUGAGGCGGAAGCACAGAUUUAAGCGUGGAGGCGAA